AUUGAACGCUGGCGGCAGGCCUAACACAUGCAAGUCGAGCGAGCGGCGGACGGGUGAGUAAUGUAUGGGGAACUGCCCGAUAGAGGGGGAUAACUACUGGAAACGGUAGCUAAUACCGCAUACCAUCGGAUGUACCCAGAUGGGAUUAGCUGGUAGGUGAGGUAAUGGCUAACCUAGGGGACGAUCCCUAGCUGGUCUGAGAGGAUGAUCAGCCACACUGGGACUGAGACACGGCCCAGACUCCUACGGGAGGCAGCAGUGGGGAAUAUUGCACAAUGGGCGCAAGCCUGAUGCAGCCAUGCCGCGUGUAUGAAGAAGGCCCUAGGGUUGUAAAGUACUUUCAGUCGGGAGGCGUUACCGACAGAAGAAGCACCGGCUAACUCCGUGCCAGCAGCCGCGGUAAUUC
rnacentral:rRNA from 1 species